rnacentral:rRNA from 1 species
GGGUCAAGUGACCAAGCGCAUGCGGUGGAUGCCUUGGCGACCACAGGCGAUGAAAGACGUGGCAGCCUGCGAAAAGCUCCGGGGAGCUGGCAAACAAGCAUUGAUCCGGAGAUCUCUGAAUGGGGAAACCCACCCGCGAGGGUAUCCCGACCUGAAUCCAUAGGGUCGGGAGGCGAACCCGGGGAACUGAAACAUCUCAGUACCCGGAGGAACAGAAAUCAACCGAGAUUCCGUCAGUAGCGGCGAGCGAACGCGGAACAGCCACCAGCAUGUAGCCAUCCGGUUAGGAGAACGGUCUGGAAAGGCCGGCCAUAGUGGGUGACAGCCCCGUAUCCGAAAACCCGAUGGUGGAACUAAGGCUGGAACAAGUAGGGCGGGGCACGUGAAACCCUGUCUGAACAUGGGGGGACCAUCCUCCAAGGCUAAAUACUCGUGAUCGACCGAUAGUGAACCAGUACCGUGAGGGAAAGGCGAAAAGAACCCCGGCGAGGGGAGUGAAAUAGACCCUGAAACCGUGUGCGUACAAGCAGUGGGAGCCCCGCAAGGGGUGACUGCGUACCUUUUGUAUAAUGGGUCAGCGACUUACUUUCAGCGGCAAGCUUAACCGGUUAGGGGAAGCGUAGGGAAACCGAGUCCGAACAGGGCGAAUCAGUCGUUGGGAGUAGACCCGAAACCGAGCGAUCUAUCCAUGACCAGGCUGAAGGUGGGGUAACACCCACUGAAGGGCCGAACCCACGUCUGUUGAAAAAGCCGGGGAUGAGUUGUGGAUCGGAGUGAAAGGCUAAUCAAGCUCGGAGAUAGCUGGUUCUCCCCGAAAGCUAUUGAGGUAGCGCCUCGUGUCUCACUCCCGGGGGUAGAGCACUGUUUCGGCUAGGGGGCCAUCCCGGCUUACCAACCCGAGGCAAACUCCGAAUACCGGGAAGUGCAAUCACGGGAGACACACGGCGGGUGCGAACGUCCGUCGUGAAGAGGGAAACAACCCAGACCGCCAGCUAAGGUCCCCCAGUUCCGGCUCAGUGGGAAACGAUGUGGGAAGGCCCACACAGCCAGGAGGUUGGCUUACAAGCAGCCAUCCUUUAAAGAA